CAAUUUUCUUUUCUGAUUUUCCUUUCAAAUUCCAAGGCUCUCUUUCCCUCCAGAGUUUGAGCUGACAAGGCCCAGAGGUACAACUCAUUAACAUUUCAAAAACUUGUUCUCCACAGCCUUCCUUUGAUGUCUGCGGCAUCUUGAGAAAGGAGUCUUUAUGCCUAUCCUGACAUCCUUUGGCCUCUCCCGAGUAGGAAUGGAAGUCCUUAGAAAAUUGUUAGUAGAUUCAUAUGUGUCUGGAGACAACUUGCAGCUCAGGAAAUGAGAUGCCUCCAAUCUUCUCGUCGGGGGAAAAAGAAGAGAAAGUUGGAUGUUAAGAACCUACAGGCCUAAUGGGAUGGCAUAUUUGCUUGCUUGCCUCAGUCUGAACGGAAAGGCCCAGCUGAAGAAACUGCUUUUGAUCUUCAGAACAUAGACUCUGCCUCCUUCAAAGAACACCACCUCCCAUAAAAUCCUUCUUUGGUUUCUUAGAGCUGCAAGAGAAACAUAGGC